UGGUCCAAGAAGCGGAAAUCCAAGACCUUCUUUCUUCAAGCAACGGCCAGCCGCACCAUCAAGCGGAAAUUGACCAUAGGCUUGGUCAUGUAUGACUUUGACAGAAGAAAAGUCCGCUUUCUAUUUUUAGCUAAAAACAAACACCGAACAGGAUGUACCUGGUCACAAAAUGCCAAUAAUCGGCACGUGCGGUUCGAGUGCAAUGUUUGAGUCCCCU
rnacentral:lncRNA from 1 species